UGGGGAAUUUUGGACAAUGGGCGAAAGCCUGAUCCAGCAAUGCCGCGUGUGUGAAGAAGGCCUUCGGGUUGUAAAGCACUUUUGUCCGGAAAGAAAUCCUUGGCUCUAAUACAGUCGGGGGAUGACGGUACCGGAAGAAUAAGCACCGGCUAACUACGUGCCAGCAGCCGCGGUAAUACGUAGGGUGCAAGCGUUAAUCGGAAUUACUGGGCGUAAAGCGUGCGCAGGCGGUUUGCUAAGACCGAUGUGAAAUCCCCGGGCUCAACCUGGGAACUGCAUUGGUGACUGGCAGGCUAGAGUAUGGCAGAGGGGGGUAGAAUUCCACGUGUAGCAGUGAAAUGCGUAGAGAUGUGGAGGAAUACCGAUGGCGAAGGCAGCCCCCUGGGCCAAUACUGACGCUCAUGCACGAAAGCGUGGGGGAGCAAAACAGGAUUAGAUACCCUGGUAGUCCACGCCCUAAACGAUGUCAACUAGUUGUUGGGGAUUCAUUUCCUUAGUAACGUAGCUAACGCGUGAAGUUGACCGCCUGGGGAGU
rnacentral:rRNA from 1 species